GGAAAUAGCUCAGUGUUAGAGCACAUGCUUUGUAUGCACGAGGUCCUGGGUUCAAUCUCCAGUACUUCCA
rnacentral:tRNA from 1 species